GUUCUUACAUUUUUUUUACAUUUUUAGUCAUUUAGCAGACGCUCUUAUCCAGAGCGACUUACAGCAGUGAAUGCAUACAUUUCAUUCUCCGUACUGGUCCCACGUGAGAAUCGAACCCACAACCCUGGCGUUGCAAACACCAUGCUCUACCAACUGAGCCACACAGGACUUUCAGUUUUGUACAUCAAAUCAAGUAAAAUCAAACAUACACGUGGUUAGCAGAUGUUAUUGGUCACAUGGUUAGCAGGUGUUAUUGGUCACAUGGUUAGCAGGUGUUAUUGGUCACAUGGUUAGCAGGUGUUAUUGGUCACAUGGUUAGCAGGUGUUAUUGGUCACAUGGUUAGCAGGUGUUAUUGGUCACAUGGUUAGCAGGUGUUAUUGGUCACAUGGUUAGCAGAUGUUAUUGGUCACGUGGUUAGCAGAUGUUAUUGGUCACAUGGUUAGCAGAUGUUAUUGGUCACAUGGUUAGCAGAUGUUAUUGGUCACAUGGUUAGCAGGUGUUAUUGGUCACAUGGUUAGCUGAUGUUAUUGGUCACAUGGUUAGCAGGUGUUAAUGGUCACAUGGUUAGCUGAUGUUAUUGGUCACAUGGUUAGCAGGUGUUAUUGGUCACAUGGUUAGCAGAUGUUAUUGGUCACAUGGUUAGCAGGUGUUAAUGGUCACAUGGUUAGCAGGUGUUAUUGGUCACAUGGUUAGCAGAUGUUAUUGGUCACAUGGUUAGCAGGUGUUAUUGGUCACAUGGUUAGCAGGUGUUAUUGGUCACAUGGUUAGCAGAUGUUAUUGGUCACAUGGUUAGCAGGUGUUAUUGGUCACAUGGUUAGCAGGUGUUAUUGGUCACAUGGUUAGCAGAUGUUAUUGGUCACAUGGUUAGCAGGUGUUAUUGGUCACAUGGUUAACAGAUGUUAUUGGUCACAUGGUUAGCAGGUGUUAUUGGUCACAUGGUUAACAGAUGUUAUUGGUCACAUAGUUAGCAGGUGUUAAUGCGAGUGUAGCGAAAUGCUUGUGCUUCUCGUUCCGACACCAGUUUCAAACAGCUGAAAAUAAUAUUUUUGGUUAUUGAAAAUAUAUUUCACAGAAAUGUAGAAGGUAGAAUGAGUCUACACUAUACCAGAUUAAUGUAGAAGGUACAAUCACUCUCUACACUAGAUUAAUGUAGAAGGUACAAUCACUCUACCAGAUUAAUUUUGUCACAUAAACUGAAAUUAACUAUUAAGAGUUUAAGCAACCAGG
rnacentral:lncRNA from 1 species